rnacentral:rRNA from 1 species
GAUGAACGCUAGCGGCAGGCUUAACACAUGCAAGUCGAGGGGCAGCGCGGGAUAGCAAUAUCCUGGCGGCGACCGGCGGAAGGGUGCGUAACGCGUGAGCGACAUGCCCGUUGCCCGGGGACAACCGGUGGAAACGCCGACUAAUCCCCGAUGGGAUAUUGUGCCGCAUGGCACGAUAUUGAAAGUUACGGCGGCGACGGAUUGGCUCGCGUCCGAUUAGCUUGUUGGCGGGGUAACGGCCCACCAAGGCUGCGAUCGGUAGGGGUUCUGAGAGGAAGGCCCCCCACAAUGGGACUGAGACACGGCCCAUACUCCUACGGGAGGCAGCAGUGAGGAAUAUUGGUCAAUGGGCGGAAGCCUGAACCAGCCAUGCCGCGUGCGGGAAGGAGGCCCUAUGGGCUGUGAACCGCUUUUGCCUGGGGGCAAUAAGGACGUCGCGCACGUCCGAUGAGAGUACCAGGCGAAUAAGCAUCGGCUAACUCCGUG